CUGAGCUAUGUAGGCUACACCUGCCUGCCCAUAUCUUGUUUUAUUAUAUAUAUAUAUAUCUAGUUGAAGGCCAGUUUACCCCUCUAAUGAGCUGCUGUGAGGGUUUACUUAAGCAGGCCUGUAAUCAUGGCUGUAGAUAUAUGUAUAGACUUAAUCCACUUAAAUCUAAUGUACUGUGUGUAGGGCCAUUAAGAGAAAACAAAGAACGGACUCGUUUUCUUCAAAUCGAAUCACUUGUUUCACUUCUAUUGGUCUGUCACUACACAGUGGUCAGGUUUUUUUUGUACCUUUUACAAUAGCUAAAGUGCGGAAUUGACCACGUCUCUCUGAUCCUCUCACGCUGGAGGACUGUGCUGAUUCAAGUCAAGUGAGGAGCUACAGUAGGAAAAAGAAGGAGAAGGGUAAAUCUCGUACCCGGGGGUUUCUCCAUGUUGCACGCGGGGAAACAGCCACAAAAAACCCAAGGUUUUUGUUCAGGGUUCCGCUGAGAAAGCCCGAUGCAAAGUGGGCCUACAGCCAACUGGGAUGGAUUCUGGGGUGGAACCUAAACAGAUGGGAGUUGGUUUAAAGGCUCACAGCUGAUCCACCCCCUGGUGCACAACUGAGACAGAGGAGGUUAAAGCACUCCGAACGCAUGGAACCAUAUUGCAGGUUUUUUUUCGCCUUUGCCAGGGUCUUGGUCUUUUGUGUCCUCGUGUUCCUUCUCGGCCCCGCAGGACGACCCGCACACACACAGGCCUCAGACAGCGAGCCUCGUUGCCUGCAGGCGGCAUGGCUGUUUGUGCUGUAGCUUUCCCGGCAAUCUCCCACAUCCAGGCAUCUUUCGGAGGGUCAGAGGAGAGCAACUUGACUUAACAGGUCAACCGCCUCCCAGCACUCCUCCAUGUUCUCCUCCAUCUGCCUCCUGUCCAUUGAUCAGCCUUCCAGGGCAUCAGUCUGUUUAGCAUCUGCUACAAGUUCCAGCAGCUCAGAUGCGCAGAGGCUGUAAUGAAGAGCUCUUGAACUCCCAGUCAGAGACGCUGUGACGGGAGUUCAGGAGGAUUCCUCUUUGGUUCUGCUGGACCUCAUCUUGCUGCCAAGCUGACUACCAUCCAAAGGAAGGGGGCCUCCACUGCGGAGGAAAUUUAGCCCUGACCUCUGACCUUUAGGUUCAGCGUUUGUCUCCAGUCCAGUGACCACAAACAACUCCUGGAUUGCUGUAAAUGUGUCAGCUGUAGCCUCAGAUUGAGAUGGAUGGAUCUCUGGAGUCUGCUCCCUGGCCCUCUGCAGACGCUCUAUCUCUGCACAGCACACAGAUGCAACAUCUGUCCAGAGCCAAGGAGUCAUGAGUCACCCAGUGCGAGCCAGGAAAUAUGCUUCCUCAGAACCGAAGAUGAACCUGAACUGUGUCCUUUGGCUCAACGGCUCCUCAGUGCAGACACAUCAAGUGAAAAAAAACAAGGGACCAAGGUGGUUAUAGGUUUGGAGGAGACAAGUCUUCUACACACUGCAUCGCCUCAGGAGGACGAAAAUAUUUGUCCGCAAUAUUUGUUUCUUUUCCUCGAGUACAUUAAACGCGGUGAUAUUAC